AAUACCAUUGCAUCAAACUUUAAAUAUUGAUAUUCCAUCUCAAACUUAUAAUUUUUCUAUACUUAUGAUAUUAUUUUUCAUGACUAUCUAACUUCAAGAAGAUAAAGCAUUAAAAUAAUAUAGAUUUGUGUACCUACUCUUAUGAACCCCACACACCACAGGACUCCUAACUUAAAAAGUUGAUUUAUAGCUUUGACGUUGUAUUUAAGCACCUCUUCACGCACAAAAUAUGUUCAUUCGUUAGUGUUCCUUGUGCCUAAGAAAAAAA
rnacentral:lncRNA from 1 species